GUAGGUGGCAAGCGUUGUCCGGAAUUAUUGGGCGUAAAGCGCGCGCAGGGCGGUCCUUUAAGUCUGAUGUGAAAGCCCACGGCUCAACCGUGGAGGGUCAUAGGAAACUGGGGGACUUGAGUACAGAAGAGGAAAGCGGAAUUCCAAGUGUAGCGGUGAAAUGCGUAGAGAUUUGGAGGAACACCAGUGGCGAAGGCGGCUUUCUGGUCUGUAACUGACGCUGAGGCGCGAAAGCGUGGGGAGCAAACAGGAUUAGAUACCCUGGUAGUCCACGCCGUAAACGAUGAGUGCUAAGUGUUAGGGGGUUUCCGCCCCUUAGUGCUGCAGCUAACGCAUUAAGCACUCCGCCUGGGGAGUACGGCCGCAAGGCUG
rnacentral:rRNA from 1 species